rnacentral:rRNA from 1 species
GGUGAGUAAUGCAUCGGAACGUAUCCAAUAAUGGGGGAUAACGCACCGAAAGGUGUGCUAAUACCGCAUACGACCUACGGGUGAAAGUGGGGGACCGCAAGGCCUCACGCGAUUAGAUGAGCCGAUGUCCGAUUAGCUAGUUGGCGGGGUAAUGGCCCACCAAGGCGACGAUCGGUAGCUGGUCUGAGAGGAUGAUCAGCCACACUGGAACUGAGACACGGUCCAGACUCCUACGGGAGGCAGCAGUGGGGAAUAUUGGACAAUGGGCACAAGCCUGAUCCAGCCAUACCGCGUGUGUGAAGAAGGCCUUCGGGUUAUAAAGCCCUUUUGUUGCCAAAGAAAUCCUAUCGGUUAAUAACCGGUGGGGAUGAAGGACCUAAACGAAUAAGCACGCGGAUAACUUCGUGCCAGCAGCCGCGGUAAUACGAUUAGUGCAAGCGUUACUCGGAAUUACUGCGCGUAAAGCGUGCGUGGGUGGUGGAUUAAGUCUGCUGUGAAAGCCCUGGGCUCAACCUGGGAAUUGAAGUGCAUACUGAAUCACUAGAGUGUGGUAGAGGGAUGCGGAAUUUCUGGUGUAGCAGUGAAAUGCGUAGAGAUCAGACCGAACAUCCGUGGCGUAGGCGGCUUCCUGGGCUAACACUGACACUGAGGCACGAAAGCGUGGGAAACAAACAGGAUUAGAUACCCUGGUAGUCCACGCCCUAAACGAUGCGAACUGGUAUGUUGGGUGCACUUUGACACCCCAGUAUCGAAGCUAAACGCCGCUAAGUUCACCCGCCUGGAGAGUACGGUCGCUAGAACU